UACGUAGGGUGCAAGCGUUGUCCGGAAUUAUUGGGCGUAAAGAGCUCGUAGGCGGUCUGUCGCGUCGGCUGUGAAAACCCGAGGCUCAACCUCGGGCCUGCAGUCGAUACGGGCAAACUAGAGUACUGCAGGGGAGACUGGAGUUCCCGGUGUAGUGGUGAAAUGCGUAGAUAUCGGGAGGAACACCAGUGGCGAAGGCGACUACCUGGCCUGUUUCUUGACGCUGAGGCGCGAAAGCUAGGGGAGCAAACGGG
rnacentral:rRNA from 1 species